UACGUAGGGGGCAAGCGUUGUCCGGAUUCAUUGGGCGUAAAGAGCGUGUAGGCGGCCUGGAAGGUCAGCUGUGAAAACUCGAGGCUCAACCUCGAGACGUCGGUUGAAACCACCUGGCUAGAGUCCGGAAGAGGAGUGUGGAAUUCCCGGUGUAGCGGUGAAAUGCGCAGAUAUCAGGAGGAACACCGGUGGCGAAGGCGGGUCUCUGGGUAGUAACUGACGCUGAGGAACGAAAGCGUGGGUAGCGAACAGG
rnacentral:rRNA from 1 species